AUUGAACGCUAGCGGGAGGCUUUACACAUGCAAGUCGAACGAGUGGCGGACGGGUGAGUAAUAUCUCGGAAAGUGCCCAAUGGAGGGGGAUAACUACUCGAAAUAGUGGCUAAUACCGCAUACUAUCGGAUCUGCCAAUAUGGGAUUCGCUUGUUGGUGGGGUAACGGCUCACCAAGGCAACGAUCCGUAGCUGGUUUGAGAGGACGACCAGCCACACUGGGACUGAGACACGGCCCAGACUCCUACGGGAGGCAGCAGUGGGGAAUUUUGGACAAUGGGGGAAAGCCUGAUCCAGCCAUCCCGCGUGUAUGAGAAGGCCUUCGGGUUGUAAAGUACUUUCGGCAGAGAGGCGUUAUCUGCAGAAGAAGCACCGGCUAACUACGUGCCAGCAGCCGCGGUAAUUC
rnacentral:rRNA from 1 species